rnacentral:rRNA from 1 species
GACGAACGCGGCGGCGUGCCUAAUACAUGCAAGUCGAACGAACCGCGACUAGGUGCUUGCACUUGGUCAAGGUGAGUGGCGAACGGGUGAGUAACACGUGGGUAACCUACCUCAUAGUGGGGGAUAACAGUCGGAAACGACUGCUAAUACCGCAUAGGACAUGGAAUCACAUGAUUCAGUGAGGAAAGGUGGCGCAAGCUAUCGCUAAGAGAUGGACCCGCGGUGCAUUAGCUAGUUGGUAGGGUAAAGGCCUACCAAGGCGAUGAUGCAUAGCCGACCUGAGAGGGUGAUCGGCCACAUUGGGACUGAGACACGGCCCAAACUCCUACGGGAGGCAGCAGUAGGGAAUCUUCCGCAAUGGACGCAAGUCUGACGGAGCAACGCCGCGUGAGUGAAGAAGGUUUUCGGAUCGUAAAGCUCUGUUGUUUGAGAAGAACAGCGCAUAGAGUAAACUGUUAUGCGU